UGGUGGAGUGAUUUGUCUGGUUAAUUCCGUUAACGAACGAGACCUCGACCUGCUAAAUAGUUCGGCGAAUCCUUCGGGAUUCGCACAAACUUCUUAGAGGGACUAUCGUGUGUGUAGCCGGUGGAAGUUCGAGGCAAUAACA
rnacentral:rRNA from 1 species